GCUCAGUUGGUUAAGGGGCCAACUCUUGGUUUCAGCUCAGGUCAUGAUCUCAUGGUUGUGGGAUCGAGCCCCACAUUGGGCU
rnacentral:tRNA from 1 species